rnacentral:siRNA from 1 species
UUCCAAAAUAAAUUUCCCGCCAA